AUCAGGAAAAGAGGAAACCAACAAUAAAACAGGAGAAAGUACUAAAUUAUUACUAUAUUACUAUACUAUGUGUAAAACGCAUGUGAACAGUAGCCUACUUUUUGAUCAGUUCAUCAGUAAUAUUCAGGAAAUAAUAGAUAUUGAAUGGAUGUUUGAACUUAUUUGCAUGUUUUUUUUUUUUUUGUCUUUUUAUCCUCAUUCCAAAUGAUCAUGAAAAGAGGAAAUCAACAGUAAAACAGGAGAAAGUAGUAAAUUAUUACUAUAUUACUGUGCCAUAGUAAAAUACAUGUACCUAUUUUUUUUAUCAGUUGACCAGCUAUCUGCCCAAUCAGGUAUCUAGGUGACAGUUUAUAGUUCUUGAGAGUAUGUACCUCUCAUUGCAUGGCACAGCGCACAGACCUGCCCCUCACUGACUGCACCUGUACUGUCUGCCGGCGGCCCUUUGAGCGCGCGCGAUCAGAAAAAAAGACGCAAUCUGGCCGACCAUCAGCAACGCGAUGCCUCUCCUAUGGACACUAAGACCACGUCCACCCCUGCCACCCUCAUCCCCGUUGGGCAAGGCUCGAAAUUAUCACUUGAUGGUGCUUUGUGAACACUCUCGCCAUUUACGGCGGCGCCAUUGCGCAUGUGAAGAUGUACCAGGAGAUGCGCGAUCAUUAGAUGGCCGAUCGUCAUUUCCAAAGGCAAAUAUUCCCCUUCAGAGUCAGAAUAGGCGAAUAACAUUUGCAACACGUCCUCACGGUACAACUUUUUAUUAGCCAUUUGGCGAUUUUCUCUCACAAAUCUCACAAUUUACUCAGACGCUAAGAACUGAACUGCUUCCGCAUCAAUGACACGACAGCUCACUUGCUCUGCUAUUUCCUCGAACAAUUUUGGUCUAGAAUCGAAGUACUACAUGUCUGCCAUCUAGUGGUAGGGAAUACAAAUGAGAUACUACACCAUAUUAGGAACUACAAUCUGUUUAAUGAAGUAUGACGUCUUGUCGCAAUUUUGCGACUUUGGCGCUUAGAGGGUUAAAAGUUAUUAAUUCCAAAAGAGUUGAAUUAACAAUCUACAGUGUUAAACAGUACUGGUGUUCAGUGUUGUCACACGGUGUAAUAUUUAUGUAAUUUCACUUUUACACUGAAAGUGUAAAAAAACCCGCCGAAUUCAUCUGACUCCGCCCUUCAAGGACUGCUGCCUCGCAAAGCGACGAACCGAGACGGUUUACAGUGUUAAGUUCGUGAGUUGUAGAGAUGCAAGGUUAGCCUACAGAAGAGUGAAAGUUUCUCAGGCCGUUUUGAUUUUCUGAAAUAAGAUCCUCUCGCCUUCAUUCUCGCCGAGGCCUGGUUUUACUACGAGUCUGGCACUGAAGAUGAGGUCUGAAGCAGCCACAUUUGGGCGGUUUUUUUACUCAGAUGAGAGAUGUUUGCUUUUGAAAGCAUUCAGUGCUUUGAAACGGUAAUAGUGGGACUGUUAAAGAUUUACGCGCUAACAAUUUCGUUUUUGUGACGCAUAACACCGUGUGAAGUGUCGUGUCGCUGACGGAGCUGUGUAACGCGGAACAUUGACCAGUCAUUUAACGUUAAUUGACGUUAUCUAAUGCAAAACUGUGAAAUUAGAGCGCGUUUAAAAUCUUAGUUCGCCCUAGGCUCAAGUGUGAAUUGCAUAAUCUGUACGAUGCUUGUUCUCGGCGCUGAAUAUCAUGUCUGUCAUAUCUGCGUCAAGAAACAAACGCGCUACCAUCAAGUUUUUCUUAUGACAAUUAACGUUACGUUUAUGCAAGCAUCGUGAAAGUGAGUUAAGAGUACGUUAAACUGUAAAUCCGUCAGUCUUUCAAUUUCCUUCAGAGCCCAUGGGCAGAGCAUGCAGGUACUUUAGCUUGAAACCAGUCUUUAUCAUUCAUAUGGCAUGCUAUUUUGGGUAAAUAAUGCCCUAAAUAUUUCCAGAUAUACAAAGUUAAGUUUUAAUUUAGAAAGAUAUGUCUGAAUCUAUCUGUAUUUUCUUUUCACAUUAUAAAUAAUAAAUUAAUAGUAAGAUCAAUUUUAAACGUGUUAAUUUAUUCUAAUGUAGUACACUAUGUUCAUUUAAGAUGCCUUAUUACUCCUUACUCAUUAAAAUUAUAUAAAUGUAUUUAAUAAUCAGAUUAAAUAAAUACUUAAAUUGUUUCAGGAAUGGCUCCAUGUGAAUAUUGUACAAGGUUUUGUGUCUUAUUAACUUUAGCAGUCGUUUAAUUGACCCUAGAAUGAAGAAUGUAAAUAAAAAUAAGUUUAUGAUUUGACACCUGUAUUAUAGACAGCUCUCGGCAUACUCAAAAUUAGGGGUAAUCACAAUUAUUUUACCAUAUUUACAGUCCUAAUGUAAAUUAAAUUACUGAAAUAAGUGUUUUUUAUUUUUAUAAUUCUUUUUCAAUAGAAUUGGCCCAGACUUCUGCAGUGUCAAGUGAAGGAAGCUCCUCUCAUAAGAUUACUUUACUUUACUUUACUUUACUUUAUUGGUUUAUAGUAAUGUGGACAACCUCUUUUAAUGAAAAGAGCAGCUUUAGCCUCUACGGCUAAUUUCCAGCUGUAGUCCCCAGCCAGUUGUUAAUUGGCAUACAUCAAUAAAUACAUUACAAUUAAAACAAAACUUAAGCAAAAGCUUAGACAAACAAACAAAGUGGUACAAAAUUGAAACAGACAAGCAAACACAACUUGCAAAGACAUAAAAGCAGAUCAAGCAAUAAACUAGAAAAAAUUGACACACAAAAUAAUCAUGCAAAGGCCACAUUAAAACACAUAUAGAACAUAGCAUUGAAACAGUCAGCAGAGAUCAAGUAGCAGAAGCAUGAUCAUGUCAAGAUUGCAAACUGGGAGUCUGAUGGCACUGAGUGUGAGUGAUGGAGUGAGCAGAAUGCUGAAUGCAGAAUGCUGAAGAUGAAGCCAGAAUUAAGCCAAGUUCCUGGCUUUUCCCAAGACCUUCAAGGACACGAUUAACCUCGAAAUCAGCUGUAAAGGAGGAUGAAACCGAUGUUUAAGAAUGAGACAGCAAUAUUGCAUCAAUUUGUCUCCUACUUCGUUUGAUUCCACCAUCACCACAAGGCUGCAAGGGACCUGGACAAAUGUCCUCCUAUCAAGCUGAAAAACAUCUUCAAAAAGGCACUAACAAGAAGAACAGCUUGAUUGCGUAGAAGAGACCAACACAGCCAUACCUGCUCACUGAUGGGACAACGAGGAACAGCAUUCAUGGAUGCUACACAGCUGUCGACAAGUAUCUUGCUGCAAUCAUAUUUGUUAAUGUCUAGGUAAAUUUGAUGAUUUUAUGUGUUUUAUUAGCUAUUUUAUGUUUCUGUGCAACACUUAAUGAAUGUGACUGACUAAUUAACCUCUACACAUCUGGUAUAUGCUUUAAAGUUGCCACUUUGCCCAUUUGUUAAAUAAAUUUGGAAUUUGUACAUCUGUCUGAAGACUCUUGAUUUUGUCUAAUAUUGUACAUUAACACCAUACAAUAGCAUUUUUAUUUUUGCACUGAAAAGAAUACUUUAUUAAUAACACUUAAAGGAUUAAAACAACACCAGGGGUGUUAAAUACCCUAUAGUGUAAAAUUUGAACAAGUGUAACAAUUUACUCUUGGAGUGUAAUUUUUCUAUAUUGUAAGGUGCUUUAUUAACACUAAAAAUUCAACACUGAAUGGUGUUGUCACGAAUCCGGUCCAUGGACGUCCAUUCACUCACCACCAGAGGUCACUCGCUCACCACAUUGGCUCUUGCACUACACUAACUGUUGCAGGUCACCCAGGACUUCAAUUCCCAUCAUCCAUUGCACUAAUGACUCGCACACAGCUGAUUGCACUGAUCACACAGCUGAUUCCCAUUACAACCAUGGACUUCCUUUCACAGAUCGCCCAGUGUUCUGCAUUUAGCACUCUCCAAGUGAUAGCUAUUUUACUGAGCCAUUCUGUGUUUAGUUCCAGUAUUGUCUAGCGUUUAUUGCUCUCCUAGUGGUAGCUAUUACGGAGUCCUUUUGUGUUUUCUAAGUCUUGCCUUGUUUCCUGAUAUCUGCCCGUGUUUCUUGGAUUUCCCUCGCCGUUUCGGACUCUGUUUAUGCCUAGUGGUGGGCAAUGCGAGGCUUCGUGAAACACUGAAACAGUGGAAGCAAAUGUGUCGAGGCUUCGAAGCAAUUCGACACCCGUCUCUACGGUGACACCUAGUGGUCAUUUUCAAGUAUUGCUCUGAAACAGUUUCGACAGAGAAUCAGUUAGGCGAAUACACGAAUUAUAACCUAUGUUGUGUUCGUUGGUUCGCCAAGUGAUUCGGGGGAGUGGUUUGUGUUCAUGACUGGAAUGCUGUCACCCUGGUUUCGAAUCCCGGGUGAAGCAGUAAUUCAUAAAAUUAUAAUAAGCAUUUAGAAUUUGUGUUUUUAUUGUUCUGCUAUUCUAAUGUGUUGAAACAUUGGUCUGACAUCUGAGUGAACUCUUUAUGAAUAAAUGUUAUUUUGGUCAUGAAAAAUAAACAUUAAUAAAAGACAUCAAGCCACAAUGUCUGACUUCUUUUUUUUUUCUUUUUUUUUUACAUAUAAAGAUUUUUAUUUUAAAAUAUGGAUUUUCUAAACAGUGUCUCAACACUUUGUGAUCUGAAUUAGAUUUCAUACAAUGUAUGCCUUGCUUAGAUGGCCCAGCAGUGUCAAAAGCAGGCCUAGGUACAGGGACAAUGUUACCAUCCUCUGCACCCCCAAAAGGCCAGGAUGAGUGCUCCUCAAAUGGCCUAUCGUGGAUGUUGUAUUAUUACAGUAGGCUAGCUGAUCACAAUACAUACAUCUCACUUUAUUUUGUGUUUCCAAAUGGAAAUGCUCCCACACCACAGAUGCGUGGCAUCUCUUGCAUGGAGCUUCCAUUAUUAUGUAAUCUAUCAGUAUGAAAUAAUCUAUGUAUCAAUUAGCCUAUGAUAUCCUAUCUCUAACUUGCUGUGCUUGUCACUAUCUAACUUAUAUUAAUGUAUAUGUAUGCCUAUAUGAAUGUAUCAGUAUAUUUAUCCUAAUUACCUGUC